rnacentral:rRNA from 1 species
GGGACGAACGCUGGCGGCGUGCUUAACACAUGCAAGUCGAGCGGAAAGGCCCUUCGGGGUACUCGAGCGGCGAACGGGUGAGUAACACGUGAGCAACCUGCCCCUGGCUCUGGGAUAGCCUCCGGAAACGGGGAUUAAUACCGGACAUUCACUUCCUUCCGCAUGGUUGGUGGUGGAAAGUUUUUCGGCCGGGGAGGGGCUCGCGGUCUAUCAGCUUGUUGGCGGGGUAACGGCCCACCAAGGCGACGACGGAUAGCC